AUUGAACGCUGGCGGCAUGCUUUACACAUGCAAGUCGAACGGUAACAGGCCGCAAGGUGCUGACGAGUGGCGGACGGGUGAGUAAUGCAUCGGAACGUGCCCAGUCGUGGGGGAUAACGCAGCGAAAGCUGCGCUAAUGCCGCAUACGAUCUAUGGAUGAAAGCGGGGGACCGUAAGGCCUCGCGCGAUUGGAGCGGCCGAUGUCAGAUUAGGUAGUUGGUGGGGUAAAGGCUCACCAAGCCAACGAUCUGUAGCUGGUCUGAGAGGACGACCAGCCACACUGGGACUGAGACACGGCCCAGACUCCUACGGGAGGCAGCAGUGGGGAAUUUUGGACAAUGGGCGCAAGCCUGAUCCAGCAAUGCCGCGUGCAGGAAGAAGGCCUUCGGGUUGUAAACUGCUUUUGUACGGAACGAAACGGUCUGGGUUAAUACCUCGGGCUAAUGACGGUACCGUAAGAAUAAGCACCGGCUAACUACGUGCCAGCAGCCGCAGUAAAAC
rnacentral:rRNA from 1 species